ensembl:misc_RNA Y_RNA Y RNA
GGCUGGUCCGAGUGCAGUGGUGUUUACAACUAAUUGAUCACAACCAGUUACAGAUUCCUUUAUUCCUUCUCCACUCCCACUGCUUCACUUGACUAGCCUAAA